AUUGAACGCUGGCGGCAGGCCUAACACAUGCAAGUCGAACGAGUGGCGGACGGGUGAGUAAUGUCUGGGAAACUGCCUGAUGGCGGGGGAUAACUACUGGAAACGGUAGCUAAUACCGCAUACCAUCAGAUGUGCCCAGAUGGGAUUAGCUAGUUGGUGGGGUAAUGGCUCACCAAGGCGACGAUCCCUAGCUGGUCUGAGAGGAUGACCAGCCACACUGGAACUGAGACACGGGCCAGACUCCUACGGGAGGCAGCAGUGGGGAAUAUUGCACAAUGGGGGCAAGCCUGAUGCAGCCAUGCCGCGUGUAUGAAGAAGGCCUUCGGGUUGUAAAGUACUUUUAGCGGGGAGGCGUUACCUGCAGAAUAAGCACCGGCUAACUACGUGCCAGCAGCCGCGGUAAUAC
rnacentral:rRNA from 1 species